GGAGAGAUGGCUGAGUGGUCGAAGGCGGCGGUUUCGAAAACCGUUGUACUCUUUCGGGUACCGGGGGUUCGAACCCCCCUCUCUCCGCCA
rnacentral:tRNA from 1 species